AAGCCUCUCUUUCUCUCUCUAACUUCUCUCUAGCCUCCCUAAACCCCUCCCAAGUCUAGGGAACCUCCCUAUCACGAGAAGAAAGCCCCGGAGCGCCCGACGGCUCCGAGAAGAAAAGCUUUCGGCUCGGAAACGCUGCUCCAGCGAAGUCCGGUUUUUAAUAAAAACCCAUUGUAAGUGAGUUACGCCUAUACUAUAUUUAAUAUAGCUUUUAUUUAAUUAUAGUAACAUUAUUAGGACCUUAAAAUAAUUAUUUGGGCUAUUAUUAUGAGUUAUAUUGAGUGUUAUUUAACGCUUAUAUAAUAGUAAUAAUAGCUAGACUAUUAAUUAGUCGUGAUUAACGUUAAAACUAAACUCUAGUGGUAUUAAUACAAGGUUUGGUCAAGGAAAAAUUGUUUUAAGAAGUAACGAAGAGCUGUCCGAGUGCCGAGUCACCACCUUACCAGGUGAGUGCAUAGUUACUUUCAGCUUACACAUAGAUAUGAAGUAUUUUAUAUAAAUUACGUGCUAUGUGUGCAUAUUAUCUGAAUACUUGCUAUCUAUGCUGGAUGAACAUUGUUAUACAUGUUUUCAAUGAUUUAAACUGUAUAUGUAUUUUAUAUCUACGAAAAUGUUGGGGUAAAACAUGGGUAGAUGUAAUAGGUGAUGUGUGAUAAAAUGAUGAGAGGCCUCGAUGUUGAUGUUGUUGAUUCUGUCAUCUAGCGGAGUAUGGAUGACGACCACGGACUCUUCUAGACAGUCCAGUGGAACACUAGCAGGCUCGCAACCUGUAGGUGUUUGUGAACGAUGUGUUCACCGGUGUACUCCAUCCCCCACAUGGUUGCCUUUAGGACAUUUAUUGCUGAGGAAUCCCCUUAGCAGUAGUGUCCGUCCCGAUGAUGAUCCUUAGGCUAGGUCCCUUAUGAUAGGUGUUUAGGGACGUAAAGUGAGGAUAACGGGAACGGGUAAUCGGGUUAUUGUUGAUCGAUGAAAUUAAUAAACUUAUUUAUUGUGGGUUGAAAACCCUAUGUGCUCACCAGGCUCCCAAGCCUGACCCACUCAGUUUUAUGUAUUACAGGUAGUGGCGCAUGAGCAUAGGUGUGAUGUUUUGGACGAGGGAUUACGGAUAUAGGCUUGUAGAUAUGAAAUAAUGUAGUAAGGCUUAUAUUGUAUUGUUUAUGCUUUUGAUCUGUACGAACAUGACAUCCCGAGUCUUUUAAUGAAAUACAUUUAUAUGGAAAUGCUUUUGAUAAAUCUUUAUCAUAUUUUUGUUUUGGGACAAAUUCCGCAACACUUUCAUUUAAAAUGUAACUCUGAUUUUUA
rnacentral:lncRNA from 1 species